rnacentral:tRNA from 1 species
AGCUUUAUAGUCAAUAUAUAAAAUGAUAUAAAAUUGCAAAUUUUAAGUAGAAUUUUCUAAGGCUU